rnacentral:rRNA from 1 species
UACAGAGGGUGCGAGCGUUAAUCGGAAUUACUGGGCGUAAAGCGUGCGUAGACGGCUAUCUAAGUCGGGUGUGAAAGCCCCGGGCUCAACCUGGGAAUUGCAUUCGAGACUGAAUAGCUGGGGUACGGUAGAGGGAAGCGGAAUUUCCGGUGUAGCGGUGAAAUGCGUAGAUAUCGGAAGGAACAUCAGUGGCGAAGGCGGUUCCCUGGGCAUGACCUGACGCUGAGGAGCGAAAGUGUGGGGAGCGAACAGG